CUACGGGGGGCAGCAGUGGGGAAUAUUGCACAAUGGGCGAAAGCCUGAUGCAGCAACGCCGCGUGAGCGAUGAAGGCCUUCGGGUCGUAAAGCUCUGUCCUCAAGGAAGAAUUUUGACGGUACUUGAGGAGGAAGCCCCGGCUAACUACGUGCCAGCAGCCGCGGUAAUACGUAGGGGGCUAGCGUUAUCCGGAAUUACUGGGCGUAAAGGGUGCGUAGGGGGUCUGACAAGUCAGGGGUGAAAGGCUACGGCUCAACCGUAGUAAGCCCUUGAAACUGUCGGACUUGAGUGCAGGAGAGGAAAGUGGAAUUCCCAGUGUAGCGGUGAAAUGCGUAGAUAUUGGGAGGAACAUCAGUGGCGAAGGCGACUUUCUGGACUGUAACUGACACUGAGGCACGAAAGCGUGGGGAGCAAACAGGAUUAGAUACCCGGGUAGUC
rnacentral:rRNA from 1 species